rnacentral:lncRNA from 1 species
GUUGUUUGUUUCUUGUUUAUUCAUUUAUUUGUUUUUUUGGUUUUGUUUCUUUAUUUAAUUUUUAUUUAUUUAAUUUACUAUAUAUAUUUUCAUAACGCUAUCUAUGUAUCUACUAAAAUAUUUGUAUUAGCUACACAUAUUCAAUAAUUUCACAAUGGUUUAAUGUGUGNCUUCUCGGCCCUUCCACUGGGAAUUCCUGGUGAUCCCAGCAAUUCCAGGUGAUCCCGGCUGCUUCCAGGCCCUUCCACCGGGAAUUCCAGGUGAUCCCAGGAAUUACAAGUGAUCCCGGGAAUGCCAGGCGAUCCCAGUUUACCUGCCUGCAUCCCAGCUGCUUCCCAGCCACUCCUUCGGGAAUUCCCGGUGAUCCUGGGAAUGCCAGGUGAUCCCAGCUGGUGAUUCCCGGCCCUUCCACCAGGAAUUCCAGGUGAUCCCGACAAUUCCAGGUGAUCCAGGAAUUCCAGGUGAUCCCAGCUGCUUCCUGGCCAUUUCAUGGGGAAUUACAGGUAAUCCAAAUUUUCCUAGAGGACACCCUGGCUGCUUCCCUGCCAGUCCACCGGGAAUUCCAGGUAUUCCCAGUUUUCCUGGCUGCAUUCUGGUUGCUUCCUCGCCAUCCCACACAUGUCAGGAAUUCCAGGUCAUCCCAGUUUUCCUGGAGGUCGCUCUGGCUGCAUCCCAGCUGCUUUCCAUUCCACCAGAAUGGAAUUUCAGGCGACCCCUGGCUGCAUCCCAGCUGCUUCCCUGCCAUCCCACACAUCCCAGGAAUUCCAGGUAAUCCCACUUUUCCUGGCUGCAUCCCAGCUGCUUCCCUGCCAUUCCUCCAGGAAUUCCAGGUGAUCCCGGGAAUGCCAGGUGAUCCCAGUUUACCUGCCUGCAUCCCGGCUGCUUCCCAGCCCUUCCACCGGGAAUUCCAGGAGAUCCCGGGAAUUCCAGCUGAUCUCAGGAAUGCCAGGUGAUCCCGGCUGCUUUCUGGCCCUUCCACCAGGAAUUCCAGGUGAUCCCGGGAAUUCCAGCUGAUCUCAGGAAUUCCAGGUGAUCCCGGCCGCUUCCCAGCCACUCCACAGGCAAUUCCAGGUGAUCCUGACAAUUCCAGGUAAUCUCAGAAAUUCCAGGU